AUAUAUUUUGUAUAUUUGUAUCAGCUAAUAUAAUAUUACAUUCGAAAAAAUCGCCAAAAAGCAAGAGAUAUCGUUGUUAAUGAUAGAACACUACCUGUAAUUAAAUGAAGAAGAAAAUAUAAAAAAGGAAAUAUUGGAAUAUCAGAUACGCCAUAGGCUAGGCAUGGUCGUGGUUUAUGAUCAUUUAACAGUCAGCAAAGAACAUGGAAAGAAUAAAUGGUUUUGUGGUUAGACUGAUAAUGAUAGACUGUACGUAAUCGACCUAAAGAAGUUUGACUUUUGAAACCAAUAAAGUAGAUCAUCCAGAAAUUACAGAUUUAUUGUCAUGGAAAAGUAUUCAAUCAGUUAUAUCCAUAUAAACAAAGAGGGAUGCUAGCUAAUAGUCAUGAUGAUCAUCUUACUUCAGUAUCGAUGCGAUUGUUAUUGUCUUUGAUUUUCUGAUCCCGAAAUUGGAACUAAAGAAGAUGACGGAUGAAAAGGUUUGGCAAAGAGCUGAAAUGGAAUUUACCUCCUCUUUUACUCGGCUUCUCUCCAAGCUAGUAUCCAAAGCUUGACUUGACUUUAACUUCACUACCUCUUCCUGGAGUUAUCAUAGUUUACCUUAUUCCAAUUGUGCUUGGAUCAUUAAACAAAAUAUACAAUGAUGUAUUAUACCUGUAGUAGCAGUUUAAGGGAUGCCACUUCACUUUUCAACUUCUUUAUUGAAAGAAAGACAAC